AUUGAACGCUGGCGGCAGGCCUAACACAUGCAAGUCGAGCGAGAGGCGGACGGGGGAGUAAUGUCUGGGAAACUGCCUGCUGGAGGGGGAGAACUACUGGAAAAGGUAGCUAAUACCGCAUACCAUCAGAUGUGCCCAGAUGGGAGUGGCUAGUAGGUGGGGUAACGGCUCACCUAGGCGACGAUCCCUAGCGGGUCUGAGAGGAUGACCAGCCACACUGGAAUUGAGACACGGUCCAGAGUCCUACGGGAGGCAGCAGUGGGGAAUAUUGCACAAUGGGCGCAAGCCUGAUGCAGCCAUGCCGCGUGUGUGAAGAAGGCCUUCAGGUUGUAAAGCACUUUCAGCGGGGAGGCGUUACCCGCAGAAUAAGCACCGGCUAACUCCGUGCCAGCAGCCGCGGUAAUAC
rnacentral:rRNA from 1 species